GUGAGGAAUAUUGGUCAAUGGGCGGAAGCCUGAACCAGCCAUGCCGCGUGCAGGAAGACGGCCCUACGGGUUGUAAACUGCUUUUCCGGGGGAAGAAUAAGGGCGAUGCGUCGCCCGAUGCCGGUACCCCGGGAAUAAGGAUCGGCUAACUCCGUGCCAGCAGCCGCGGUAAUACGGAGGAUCCGAGCGUUAUCCGGAUUUACUGGGUUUAAAGGGUGCGUAGGCGGACGCCUAAGUCAGCGGUGAAAUGCGGGGGCUCAACCUUCGAACCGCCGUUGAUACUGGGCGUCUUGGAUUCGGUCGAGGCGGGCGGAAUGCGACAUGUAGCGGUGAAAUGCUUAGAUAUGUCGCAGAACGCCGAUUGCGAAGGCAGCUCGCCGGGCCGACAUCGACGCUGAGGCACGAAAGCGUGGGGAUCGAACAGGAUUAGAAACCCCAGUAGUCC
rnacentral:rRNA from 1 species